UACGGGGGGGGCAAGCGUUGUUCGGAAUUACUGGGCGUAAAGGGCUCGUAGGUGGCCAACUAAGUCGGACGUGAAAUCCCUCAGCUUAACUGGGGAACUGCGUCCGAUACUGGAUGGCUCGAGUUUGGGAGAGGGAUGCGGAAUUCCAGGUGUAGCGGUGAAAUGCGUAGAUAUCGGGAAGAACACCCGUGGCUAAGGCGGCUCUCUAGUACGGUACUGACGCUGAGACGCGAAAGCGUGGGGGAGCGAACAGG
rnacentral:rRNA from 1 species